rnacentral:rRNA from 1 species
GAUGAACGCUGGCGGCGUGCCUAAUACAUGCAAGUACAACGCUGAAGGAGGAGCUUGCUCUUCUGGAUGAGUUGCGAACGGGUGAGUAACGCGUAGGUAACCUGCCUGGUAGCGGGGGAUAACUAUUGGAAACGAUAGCUAAUACCGCAUGACAACAGUUAUUGCAUGAUAACUGUUUAAAAGGGGCAACUGCUCCACUACCAGAUGGACCUGCGUUGUAUUAGCUAGUUGGUGAGGUAACGGCUCACCAAGGCGACGAUACAUAGCCGACCUGAGAGGGUGAUCGGCCACACUGGGACUGAGACACGGCCCAGACUCCUACGGGAGGCAGCAGUAGGGAAUCUUCGGCAAUGGACGGAAGUCUGACCGAGCAACGCCGCGUGAGUGAAGAAGGUUUUCGGAUCGUAAAGCUCUGUUGUAAGAGAAGAACGAGUGUGAGAGUGGAAAGUUCACACUGUGACGGUAUCUUACCAGAAAGGGACGGCUAACUACGUG